CAAGUCGAGCGAGAAAAGGGGGGCAACUCCCUGAGUAAAGCGGCGCACGGGUGAGUAACACGUGGGUAAUCUGCCCUGGAGUGGGGAAUAACACCGGGAAACCGGUGCUAAUACCGCAUACGAUCACAAGGUCUGCGGACAUUGUGAUGAAAGGAGCAAUUCGCUCUAGGAGGAGCCCGCGGCUGAUUAGCUAGUUGGUGAGGUAAUGGCCCACCAAGGCAACGAUCAGUAUCCGGUCUGAGAGGACGGUCGGACACACUGGAACUGAGACACGGUCCAGACUCCUACGGGAGGCAGCAGUGGGGAAUUUUUGGCAAUGGGGGCAACCCUGACCAAGCAACGCCGCGUGGGUGAUGAAGUCUCUUGGGACGUAAAACCCUUUCGACGGGGAAGAAACCGCAAGGUUGACGGUACCCGUAGAAGAAGCCCCGGCUAACUCCGUGCCAGCAGCCGCGGUAAUACGGGGGGGGCAAGCGUUGUUCGGAAUUACUGGGCGUAAAGGGCGCGUAGGCGGUUCGCUAAGUCGGAUGUGAAAACUCUGGGCUCAACCCAGAGCCUGCAUCCGAAACUGGCGGGCUAGAGUUCUGGAGGGGGUAGCGGAAUUCCUGGUGUAGCGGUGAAAUGCGUAGAUAUCAGGAGGAACACCGGUGGCGAAGGCGGCUACCUGGACAGAAACUGACGCUGAGGCGCGAAAGCUAGGGGAGCAAACAGGAUUAGAUACCCUGGUAGUCCUAGCCCUAAACGAUGGAUACUUGGUGUGACUGGGAUUGAAUCCAGUCGUGCCGAAGCUAACGCAUUAAGUAUCCCGCCUGGGGAGUACGGUCGCAAGG
rnacentral:rRNA from 1 species